AUGACCCUGCAUCAGGACAAUUUGAUUUUUGGAGGACAAAGGUUAGACAAGGAUGAGAAUGGGAUACCAGAUUACAGCGAUGGAGGCUCGGACAUGGAUCUGCUCAUGCUCUCAGCGGGAAUACUGGAUGUUCUCGAAGCUUUGCCAUACACACGUGCUACUUUUGGCACUUGCGUGGGCUCCAGUUUGUGUCAAUGCAAUUUGCAUCUGUCAGCGGACUAUGGCGAUCAGGAACCAGGUGCUAUAAUGCACCAAUGCUGCUUUCUGAUGAUGACGGCAAUGCCAAACGCACCAUCACCUGAGGUCUAUGCGAUUGGCGGGGAUGGAACCAUGAGAGGAGCAGUGGCGAUAUUCAAAUAUUCAAAGAGUUUAAACGGCAUGGUUUGA
rnacentral:rRNA from 1 species